GGGAUUAGCUAGUAGGUGGGGUAACGGCUCACCUAGGCGACGAUCCCUAGCUGGUCUGAGAGGAUGACCAGCCACACUGGAACUGAGACACGGUCCAGACUCCUACGGGAGGCAGCAGUGGGGAAUAUUGCACAAUGGGCGCAAGCCUGAUGCAGCCAUACCGCGUGUAUGAAGAAGGCCUUCGGGUUGUAAAGUACUUUCAGCGGGGAGGAAGGGAGUAAAGUUAAUACCUUUGCUCAUUGACGUUACCCGCAGAAGAAGCACCGGCUAACUCCGUGCCAGCAGCCGCGGUAAUACGGAGGGUGCAAGCGUUAAUCCGAAUUACUGGGCGUAAAGCGCACGCAGGCGGUUUGUUAAGUCAGAUGUGAAAUCCCCGGGCUCAACCUGGGAACUGCAUCUGAUACUGGCAAGCUUGAGUCUCGUAGAGGGGGGUA
rnacentral:rRNA from 1 species